UCUUGACAUUUUUUCUCUUUUUUUAACAAGAUCAUAUUGCAAACGUAAUCGAGGUGAUAUCAGAAUUCACUCGAAUUUUAGGACAAANGAUUCAAGGUCAAGAGAGUCAGUCGAUUGUGCACAACUGUCUGAGGGCCUUAGAUUACACCAAUAGAUUUAUCUAAUUCGCUGACAGCACAGCCGGAAAGCAAACCAUUAUAAUGCAUCCGAACAUUAAAUCUGAGCAUUGAAAUGGUUUCCCAAAUUCUAAUUNUCAUUGGGUUCGAAUCCAUAUUGCCAUCAAGCCGGGAGAGUCAUGUGAUUAGUUUUGAUAGGCCAGCUGUCUGCUAUGAGUUGGUAUAAGAAGUUAACACCACAGCGCGAUCGCCAUCCAACAGAGCAGUGUACAGUGUGUAGAUUUGAUUUAUUUUUAGGACGCGGUCAGUGACCAGAGCCUUCAGACAANUCAUAGAUAUGAAGACAUAUCGGGUUUCAAGCCGAGGGAAUACCAUCAGAAAUUUUUGAAACAUGCCGGUUACAUGUUUGCACAUUGACAUGAAUUUCCUUUGCUACGGUUCUUCCUCUUAUUACAAUGGUAGUUUGUGGGUAUAAACAAGGAGAACUUAAAUCAUUGUGUGUCGCUAGCUUUUUGUAGUCUGUUGGAAUCAGAAUUUAUGAUGGCUACAGGAGAUAAAACUAAACACAUUGGCUUUAUGCCUCAGUGCAAGGUAAGCAUGGUAUUUGUCAUCAUCGUUAAUUGCAGUCAGCUCUUCAUAACUUCGUUACAUGCACCGGUACCCAAUGUACCCGAAUUAAUCGUCACUUGAUAUUUAUAGUGUUUCUCCACACUCUUCAUNAGUGUUUAAUGUUAUGUGUUUGUGGAAGAAAUGUGGUACAGGAGGCAAUUAAUCGUCUUCAGCCCUUCAAUGUACAAAGAAGCUCUACUGAUUGUACCUUUAAAGCCUUUAAAAUAACUGUAAUAGUACUCCUCCAGCUCUCAUAACCUGAAAGGCUGUGAAUUUACCCAAUUCCCUGUAAAUUAGCUGUUUACGAAGAUAAGAAUCGAAUCACUUUGUUGAGUUGAAAGUGAAUUUCACUUAACNAGACAAUGGCUAGCUAACAUGUGCCAGGCGCGUGGGGUAACCCAGCUAGGUUUACUUUCCAAAGUAAGCUUUCUGACAAUCAAAAAACUCAAGUUCUUCACUAAUAUUAGAAGAUCAGUCAUCUUGAGUAACCGAAUUGUGCAAAAUAAAUAGCAAAAGGAACUUUGAAUACAAGAUAUGUUUAAUCUAAUGUUCGAAUGAAAAUCUUUAGGUACAUAAUAGUUGGAACGUUUUCAGUUUACAUGCGGUAUUAGACGCACAAAAUGCAAUGAUUACACACUGAUGGCACAAAUUAGCUUUUUACUCGGCAGCAAAAGUCAAUUGUAAGGGGCAAAAUUUAGGCCUGAAGGGAAUAUAAAUAUGUUGUGAUGUUUGAUGUCUGGCUGAUGUCUAGUUUUUAUGCAAAACGCUUGUACAAAAGCGGUACCGACAAAAUCGCGUGAGUCGAAAAUUAUUUGCGUGUCGGUUGUAGGAGGCGUUUGCAAAAAAAUCAAUACACCUCACGCUAUAAACAUCAUUCCUUCGGGUAAACUGAAAAAUAUAGUAGACUGCAGAUCAGAUAAUUUGAUACUACUGUAUCCAAACACAAUGCAAAAGAUCAAAUAUUACAACUGUCAAUACAAUGUUUGCCUCUUCNUCAAAACAUACAAUGCGUGCUGGUUUUUUAUGGAUUCCUUACCCUGAGAUGUUUUUUUCUUCCUUUUGGCAAACAUUAAUUGUGAUCCAUAGUCUGAAAAAUACUCUAAAUGUCUUGUACUGCUAUAUAUAACAAUACUGGGUUAUAUAUAGAGCUGAGGGUCUCGGUAAUGAAUCAGGCAAAAACUAAUUAAAAAGAUUAGUUUAAGAUUUUCAAUAGUUAUUUGUCGGGAUGGGAUANUGUAGGUUUUUUUAAGUCUCACCAUGCAAAGCUAACAAUGACAUAGGUAAAAAUAAAUCGACCUCGAUGGACAAAGACAGGCAACCAUCAAAUCACAACCCAGCCAAUCUGCCAAAGGUCACAAGGUAUAUACGCUCACAAGCCUUGAUCAAACGUUCGUAUUCGAUAGCUUGAAAGACUUUUAGCAUUUUCAUCAACAUGGAUUUUUAUCCUGUACAAUAAGGCCAUUACUUCUAAAGGGCGUGGCUUGGACCCAGUGUCUUGACCGUUUACAUAAACGGAGCCACGCGAGAGACUCAGUUACAGAGCGUCUACUAACGUGAAGAAAAGAGCUGUGAGUUUGCCAAAGGUCAGUAUUUUUGGGAAGAUAUUGUCAAAAUUGAAAUUCAUCAUGGGUGGUGGACGCGGAAUGAUGAUUCAUACUUGGGAAAUGAGCAGCAUCUUACAUGGAAGAAAGAAUGCCAUAAUGUUAGUUUAAUAGUGUAACAGUUGCAGUUACAGUUAUAACACCAUGUUAUAUGCCAUGCUAUGUUGGUGUAGUAGGGGAAGUUUGAGCGUGAAUAAAAGCAACUUUAACUGACACUGUUUGUAACAAAGCAACGAACCAAGGUUUAACAAGCUUUCUGGAUUCUUACAUGGAUGGUCUAUGAAAGUGAUUGAAUUAAAGUUUUUUUUGGCAGCUUCAAAUGAGAUAUACUUUUGUUGGUUGUUUGUUAAGAGAGUAUGCAGAANGUUAGUGAGUUCAGUAUAAUAUGAUGUAAUGGCGCACAAAAGUAGUUUCUUUAUUUCUCAAGAGACUAUCCCAAGGAAUCAGGCAAUGCUAGCAAAAUAUAUUGNUAUUGUAAGGCUACCUAGUGGAGACUACACCAGAAUGUGCACUCAGUAAUAAUGUUCAGCGCAAAAAAGGAUUCAGCAAGGACUUUGAUCUCGUGGAUAAGAUUGAUAGGUCUGCGUUUUAGGAAGUAUGCAUCUUCGAUGUUCGUUAGUNUUAGGUACUGAAAUCUAAAUCUGAUUGAAUUAACCGAUUGUAAUAGUUCACAAAUGUAAUACUUACAUUAAACUAGAAUAAUGCCGAAAAGAAAUGAGAAUAGUAGAGACAAAUCAAGAAUAUGCCCAGUUCAAUGUUAGUUUAAGAUCAUUAAUUCACAGACUGUAUGGAGUUCAAGCGGCAUUUCUACCUCAAUGCACGAUGCAUAACUAAGCCGAACGAAUAACCAAGCUAAAAUUAUUGUAAAGAUAGAGAAAGCAAUCUGCGGUACGUGUUCUUUGAGAACAGUUUGCAAAAUAUACUCAAAACGAAGUAUUUUCAUUGUAUAAGACAUUAAUUCCAGCAUAAUUCAAUCGGUCUUUGUCUUAAGUGCGCUAAGUACAAGAAUAGCAGUAGUUCUAGACCCUCUCGAGCCCUCUUACAAGAUGCUUCAAUGGUUAAUAUGUGUAUGAAACAAGAAGUUCUUUACUACUUUCCUUGGAGUGGCUGAUGUGAUACUGGCCAAACAAAAGAUUGGAACAGCUCAUAANAGUUUCUUUUUCUAUGCAUUUUUACUAAGAAACAAAUUAAAUGUAGUUUUUUUGAGACACUAUAACGGUGUCGUCCCUAUCUUUGCCUUCACCACUAAGAAGAUUAGAAUAAUUAUGGUUGACAAUCAGUAUCNGUUAAUUGUUUGGUUUAGAGUUUUAUUGAUUAAAUACAGCAAGGGCGUGAAUUGCAACAUCCGAACGAAAAAGAACAACAAAUGAUUAAGAUCUAAAAAACAACUUGGAGAAUUUCUAAUUUAAACAUCUAAAACUAUUUAAUAAUAUUUGUUUGGACUGCAUUCGAUUACUUAUCAAAUUUGUGGANGCUCAAGUGAUGAUAGUUCAGCAUAUUCAUAUAGUGAUUUUCAUUUCUUAGUCUUAAAAAAACCCNCAUGUUAAUAUAUUUUUACACUCAUUUGAUUUUUACCAAUUUAUCUUUGCAUUAUAAUAAGUUUAUCGAUUUUUUUCUUCUGAUUUCUUAACAAUCUUCAAGCAUCAUUUCCGGAAGCCUUACCUGUUUCCAAGCCUUUUUCAGUUCUACAUCUACAUAGGAAAGCCAAACUGAUAUUAUUUUCGAAUAGGACAUAUUAACAAUUAAAAAUUAUCUAUAAGUAUUAUUUUUAAGUCGUAGAUCUAAAGUUANUUGUCUUCGACUUAAUGAAAUGGGUGAAUAGUAAGACUGAAGGUCCCCUACAUGGUAUAUGACAUGACAUCUAAUAUCCAAUCCAUGAUUUAUAGAACAUUCUAAUUUGUAUGAAAUAUCCAUUAAGAAUAUUUUAGAUUUUAUUGCUUUUGGAAUGAAUUGGUAAGCAGAAACUGCACCAUUCGAUAGACGAAAAAGAUUUGUAACUAAGCUUAGAUAAUGGGAUCAUUUCUUUCUUUUUGAAGGGGGCUGUGUCAACAGGAUCUGGAAACAAUCGUGUGGUCACGUGGCCUGAUAGCUUGGACUGAGCACAANCGACGCUAAAACUACACAAGAUAUCUUGACUUCAGCACAAGAAAGAAUUAGCUGAUUUACUUUCUUUUCUUGUAUGUUCUUAAUGUCGUCUGCAAGUUUUAUUUCGAACGUUUGAAGAAUGAACUCGUUUAAGAGGGCCUUUAUUGGAUUCUUGAGUCACCAGAUGCUGCAAGACUUUGGAAGAUCAACGGUUUAGCCCUUGAAAANUUACUUUCCUUCUAAGGAACGGGUAACUGACUUCAAAUUGGAAGACAACCGACAUCUUGAAACUGCUCAGCAAUUAUAGAGAGUGGAAUUUACAGAGCAGCUUGUGAGAAUGACUUAUUUCUCUGNCUUGCUUCAGUAUCAAUUGUCGCCGCUCACUAGUUCCUUUUGGUACCUCCGUGUUGAAUGCAACAUUUGCCGAUUCGUUUUCUUUUCAAGACAUCUCGUGGGCGAACUUAUAAUUGUUUAUCUUUAUCAGAUUUAUUAUUUUUUUUUUUGAAAGCUGUCGUUGAAUGAGUCGUUAGUUGUACACUGAGCGAGCAUGCAUGCAUGUUCAGCCGUCACGAUGAACUCAAAUCCUCUUUUUGUUUUCUCAAAAAAUCGAUUAUUAUUUUACUUUUAAUCGGCUUAGAAAUACGAAUAUGACAACUACGUCGUUGACAUACUACUAUUUGCUUAAUUUUCAGGGGUAAAAGGAGUCAUAAAGANCAAAGCUGAUUCGUCGCCCAAAGAAAUGAGAACUAGUGUUUUGAGUGUCUUGUCGACCCGUAGAUCCGAACUUGUGGUUUUUAGUUCCCCAAGUUUCGGUCUACGGAACGAAAAUUCACUUAAUGACAAUGUGAUGUCUUACAAUCGUUACAGCUCAUCCAGUCAUGUGAAACUUACGGCUACGAGGGACGAUGAAACUGAUGAAAGCGCAUUUGCUUGCGGAACGCCCUGAUCUAGAGAUAUUAUUAGAGUAAGACAAGACACUAUAUAAUUGUACAAAAGUCAGUUGUUAAUAUAUAUAUAGCACCUGAAUAAGAAGAUCUUAAAGUAUAGAAAUAUUGAAUAAGGGUGCAAAAAGUUUAUUUUUUUNUCCAUCCACACUAAGUUGUUGUCCACGUGUCAAAGUAAAGCAUCAAACGCUUUUGGAUGCACAAGAGAAAUAUACCUCACUGAAUUCAUCUCUGAUCAACUUGGAAUAAGCAUUUCCAUUUNAAAUUGUUUUUAUCAAUGAAAGUAUUUGUUUUUGAGAGUGAAAAGCAUCAGAAAGCUUAGAAAAUAAGCCGAAAAGCUGGUGAUGCAAGAGUCAGUCUCGAUAAUGGUUUAAAACGGUAUCGAUACUGAAGAAUUAAAGAAGCCAACUUCCUUACCAUUUAAUAGAAAAUAGAUCAUACAUAUUGUGUAUAACUCAAGUUAAUUUAUUAUAACUUUAGUGAUAAGAAUAUAUAAAUAAACUUUGUUGAAAAGCUA
rnacentral:lncRNA from 1 species